UGGGGAAUUUUGGACAAUGGGGGAAACCCUGAUCCAGCCAUCCCGCGUGUGCGAUGAAGGCCUUCGGGUUGUAAAGCACUUUUGGCAGGAAAGAAACGUCAUGGGUUAAUACCCCGUGAAACUGACGGUACCUGCAGAAUAAGCACCGGCUAACUACGUGCCAGCAGCCGCGGUAAUACGUAGGGUGCAAGCGUUAAUCGGAAUUACUGGGCGUAAAGCGUGCGCAGGCGGUUCGGAAAGAAAGAUGUGAAAUCCCAGAGCUCAACUUUGGAACUGCAUUUUUAACUACCGAGCUAGAGUGUGUCAGACGGAGGUGGAAUUCCGCGUGUAGAAGUGAAAUGCGUAGAUAUGCGGAGGAACACCGAUGGCGAAGGCAGCCUCCUGGGAUAACACUGACGCUCAUGCACGAAAGCGUGGGGAGCAAACAGG
rnacentral:rRNA from 1 species